GGCUCAGGAUGAACGCUGGCGGUAUGCUUAACACAUGCAAGUCGAACGAUGUUUUAGGACAUAGUGGCGGACGGGUGAGUAACGCGUGAGAAUCUGCCUUCAGGUCGGGGACAACAGUUGGAAACGACUGCUAAUACCGGAUGUGCCGAGAGGUGAAAGGCUUGCUGCCUGAAGAAGAGCUCGCGUCUGAUUAGCUAGUUGGUGUGGUAAGAGCGCACCAAGGCGACGAUCAGUAGCUGGUCUGAGAGGAUGAUCAGCCACACUGGGACUGAGACACGGCCCAGACUCCUACGGGAGGCAGCAGUGGGGAAUUUUCCGCAAUGGGCGAAAGCCUGACGGAGCAAUACCGCGUGAGGGAGGAAGGCUCUUGGGUCGUAAACCUCUUUUCUUAGGGAAUAAAAAAAUGAAGGUACCUAAGGAAUAAGCAUCGGCUAACUCCGUGCCAGCAGCCGCGGUAAUACGGAGGAUGCAAGCGUUAUCCGGAAUGAUUGGGCGUAAAGGGUCUGUAGGUGGCGGUGAAAGUCUGCGGUUAAAGAGUCUAGCUCAACUAGAUAAAAGCCGUGGAAACUACACAGCUAGAGUGCGGUAGGGGCAAGAGGAAUUCCUGGUGUAGCGGUGAAAUGCGUAGAUAUCAGGAAGAACACCGGUGGCGAAAGCGUCUUGCUAGACCUGUACUGACACUGAGGGACGAAAGCUAGGGGAGCGAAUGGGAUUAGAUACCCCAGUAGUCCUAGCCGUAAACGAUGGAUACUAGGCGUGGCUCGUAUCGACCCGAGCCGUGCCGGAGCUAACGCGUUAAGUAUCCCGCCUGGGGAGUACGCACGCAAGUGUGAAACUC
rnacentral:rRNA from 1 species